AUUCCAGCUCCAAUAGCGUAUAUUAAAAUUGUUGCAGUUAAAAAGCUCGUAGUUGAAUUUCUGCUGCAUUGCUUGUGUCUCUCUGGGGUCUGUGCAUGUGGCUUUUUUCGGACGGAGUUUCUUUGUCUGAAUGUUUACUUUGAGAAAAUUAGAGUGCUCAAAGCAGGCUUUCGCCUUGAAUAGUUUAGCAUGGAAUAAUAAAGUAGGACUUUGGUUCUAUUUUGUUGGUUUUAGGUACCAAAGUAAUGGUUAAUAGGAACAGUUGGGGGCAUUCGUAUUUAACUGUCAGAGGUGAAAUUCUUAGAUUUGUUAAAGACGAACUACUGCGAAAGCAUUUGCCAAGGAUGUUUUCAUUAAUCAAGAACGAAAGUUAGGGGAUCGAAGACGAUCAGAUACCGUAGUAGUCCUAACCAUAAACUAUGCCGACUAGAGAUUGGAGGUCGUCAGUUUUU
rnacentral:rRNA from 1 species